rnacentral:rRNA from 1 species
CCUACGGGAGGCAGCAGUGAGGAAUAUUGGUCAAUGGGCUUACGCCUGAACCAGCCAAGUCGCGUGAGGGAAGACUGCCCUAUGGGUUGUAAACCUCUUUUGUCAGGGAGCAACGCCGGCUACGUGUAGCCGGACUGAGAGUACCUGAAGAAAAAGCAUCGGCUAACUCCGUGCCAGCAGCCGCGGUAAUACGGAGGAUGCGAGCGUUAUCCGGAUUUAUUGGGUUUAAAGGGUGCGUAGGCGGAAUGCCAAGUCAGCGGUAAAAUCGCGGGGCUCAACCUCGCUCCGCCGUUGAAACUGGCGUUCUUGAGUGGGCGAGAAGUAUGCGGAAUGCGUGGUGUAGCGGUGAAAUGCAUAGAUAUCACGCAGAACUCCGAUUGCGAAGGCAGCAUACCGGCGCCCAACUGACGCUGAGGCUCGAAAGCAUGGGUAGCGAACAGGAUUAGAUACCCCAGUAGUC